UUCUUGAUACUUGUUAUCACAGGUGUCCCAAGGCCUGCCCAGUUACCCCAAUUCCCACACUGGUAAUGAACAAGCACUGGAUGUCCAGGGAGUCUUUUGUCUUUGCUGCCCACAGCAGCUUAGAUCAACCCAAGUCUCAGUUUCUCUCAAGUCUCUGUGUUUUUUCUAUUUCCCACUUUCCUAUCUUGCUGACAUCAUACCGGCUUGCAGGAGACCAGGAUCACUGCAGAUUGGAUAUUUGGCAGAGGUCAAGAAGAAUAUCAGGAAAUUCUCUUGAUCAUCAUCAUCUUGAGGAUAUUCACAUACCCUCAGUAAACUGGUGUGCAGAGACUGAGACUUGA
rnacentral:lncRNA from 1 species